rnacentral:rRNA from 1 species
CAAUAGCGUAUAUUAAAGUUGUUGCGGUUAAAAAGCUCGUAGUUGGAUUUCUGCUUGGGGCGGCCGGUCCACCCUUAGGGUGUGUAUCUGGUGUGCUUUGGGCAUCCUCCUGGGGAACGUUCCUGCGCUUGAUUGCGUGGUGCGGUAUCUAGGACUUUUACUUUGAGGAAAUUAGAGUGUUCACUGCAGGCAUUACGCCUUGAAUACAUUAGCAUGGAAUAAUAAGAUAGGACCUCGGUUCUAUUUUGUCGGUUUCUAGAGCUGAGGUAAUGAUUAACAGGGAUAGUUGGGGGCAUUCGUAUUUAACUGUCAGAGGUGAAAUUCUUGGAUUUGUUAAAGACGAACUACUGCGAAAGCAUUUGCCAAGGAUGUUUUCAUUGAUCAAGAACGAAAGUUAGGGGAUCGAAGAUGAUUA